AUUGAACGCUGGCGGCAGGCCUAACACAUGCAAGUCGAACGAGUGGCGGACGGGUGAGUAAUGUCUGGGAAACUGCUCGAUGGAGGGGGAUAACUACUGGAAACGGUAGCUAAUACCGCAUACCCUCGGAUGUGCCCAGAUGGGAUUAGCUAGUAGGUGGGGUAACGGCUCACCAAGGCGACGAUCCAUAGCUGGGAUGAGAGGGUGACCAGCCACACUGGAACUGAGACACGGUCCAGACUCCUACGGGAGGCAGCAGUGGGGAAUAUUGCGCAAUGGGCGAAAGCCUGAUGCAGCCAUGCCGCGUGUAUGAAGAAGGCCUUCGGGUUGUAAAGUACUUUCAGCGAGGAGGCGUUACUCGAAGAAGAAGCACCGGCUAACUCCGUGCCAGCAGCCGCGGUAAUUC
rnacentral:rRNA from 1 species